GACGAAGGAUGCAAGCGUUAUCCGGAUUCAUUGGGUCUAAAGGGAGCGUAGGUGGCCUUAUAAGUCAGUGGUGAAAUCUCGCAGCUUAACUGCGAAAUUGCCAUUGAUACUGUAGGGCUUGAGUAUAGUUGCCGUUGGCGGAAUAUGACAUGUAGUGGUGAAAUACAUAGAGAUGUCAUAGAACACCGAUUGCGAAGGCAGCUAACGAAACUAUAACUGACACUGAGGCUCGAAAGUGCGGGGAUCAAACAGG
rnacentral:rRNA from 1 species